rnacentral:rRNA from 1 species
UUAAAAACUCCGAACUCCGCCAGAACUGGCUGGAGAU